UCUUAAUAUGAGUAUAUAAACAUACUCAAACCGAUAAACAAGUAUGAAUACAUACAAAAUGUAGUUUAUUGAAGAUGAGAGUAACUACACGUACGUGUACAAAGAAUUAAUUCCUAUAUAUAUAUAUCGCAUGCAAGCCCGAGACAUACAUCCCUGGCUGUCAGACCAAAAAAAUCAGAAGCAUCAGGUCAACUCUGAUGUGGUGCACAAAGGGUCAGCUCUACGAGUCAAUAAUUCGGGGCAUGUUCCUGCUCCUCGAUCGCAGACGGUAGAGUAGAUCUGUAGAUGUAGAUUCCUCGCUCCAUGCAUGUGUACAUGCACUCCAGCAGUAAGAGAGCACCUUUUGACACGAGCGUGCUUAUUAGAACCAUAGUUGUUAAAAUCUACUGUUUUGUUAUUAUACUCUCUCCAUCCUCUUUUAUAAGAUACACACCCAUAUUAAUAGUCAAUUUUUAAAAUCUUUGGCUAAUACUUUGACUGACAAAUUUUAAUUAGUAUAUAACAUGACCUUGAUGCGAUCAGAUUUUAAAUUAAAUGUGCUAUCCAAUAUUAUAAUUUUAUGGAUGUAAACAAUAUGAAAUAAAAAAAUAAUUAGUUACUCCAUGCAUCCAUCCAAAAUAAAUGCACAUCCCACUUUUUAAUAAGUCAAACUUUUUUAAGUUUCACUAACAAUAUAGAAUAUAGUAUUAAUAUAUGUAUAUCCAACUAUAAGGUUAUUACGAAACUAUGUUUCAUGCUUAAUCUAAUGGUAUUUAUUAUACUCAUCAUAAAUAUUAGUACACUUUUGUAUAAAUUUAUUAACUUUGUCAUAUCAAUCUGAGAUUUAUAAAAGAGAAAAGGAAGGAGUACGCCUUUGUGAUCUUAACUAAGAAAUUUCAUUCUACGAUUUUUGUCUGAGAAAGUCUAUGUUACUCUGAUUGUUAUGUUUACGAUUUCAUAGUUACGGAUCUUACUCGAAGACCACCGAACGGUUUUGACAAACUUUCGUGUAAUAUAAGCUAGUCGACUGACUUGGGAUGCAGCUCAACUUUGUUUGUGCCGUCGUGCUCAUGACUGCCUCGUCGUGUCAUUUUAAUUAGCCACCACUACGUCUAAAAGACCCGAUCAAACGAGUUAAUUAAUCUAACAAGCCAGUUGCACUCGUCCUCCUCUUCUCUUCUCGCACAGUCGCACACCAAUCAGGGCAACCAACCAAACCAGCAGCUCGGCCGUACGCCCGGGCCCGGCGACCGGCUCCGUUCCGCGCGGGGAUUUAAACGCGGGAGUGAGCACGCAGCAGGCGCAGGCAGCAAGCAACGAACGCGCGCGCGCCGCCGGAACCAUCUCGAUCGCGGGCAAGGGCGACGACGGUGCCGUGGAUUCCGCUUGAUCGUUCGGCUUAUUCGUCGUCGUCAUGGGUGGUGGCCGGCUGCCGGUGGCGUGCUCCGCCGUCCUCGUCCUCCUCGCCGCGGCGGGAUGCGUGUGGGCGCCGCGGGCGGCGGCGGCGCGGGAGUACGCGGCCAUCUUCAACUUCGGGGACUCCCUGGUGGACGCCGGCAACCUGGUGGUGGACGGCAUCCCGGACUACCUCGCCACGGCGCGCCUGCCCUACGGCAUGAACUACUUCGGCUACCCCACCGGCCGCUGCUCCGACGGCCGCCUCGUCGUUGACUUCAUCGGUACGCACGCAUGCAUGCAUGGAUACACAAACAAAUUAAAUACAUGUUGCAUUACACACUCACCAGGCUGCCGCCGGCCCGGCCGUCCACGAUGGUCGAGCAGCGCAGGAGCUGGGCGUGCCGCUGCUGCCGCCAUCCAAGGCGAAGAACGCGACGUUCCACCGUGGCGCCAACUUCGCCAUCAC
rnacentral:lncRNA from 1 species